GAAGGCUGGUGAUGGACGUGCUCCUCGCUAACCCGGUCAGGUCCGGAAGGAAGCAGCCGUAACGAGUUUCGGCGCGGGUCGUUGCCAGUCUUCUUA
rnacentral:SRP_RNA from 1 species